rnacentral:rRNA from 1 species
GACGAACGCUAGCGGCAGGCCUAAUACAUGCAAGUCGAACGGGUGGUCGCAAGAUCACUAGUGGCGCACGGGUGCGUACCGCGUAACCAACCUUCAGCGAUCUGGGGGUUAGCCCGCCGAAAGGUGGAUUAAUACCGCAUAUUCCCGCAGCCUAGCUUCAGCCAACGGGGAAAGAUUUGUUGGAUUGGGCUGGGGGUGCGUGACAUGAGCUGGAUGGCGGGGUAAGGGCCCACCAAGGCGACGAUGUCUAGGGGACCUGAGGGGGUGAUCCGCCACACUGGAGCGGAGAUACGGGCCAGGCUCCGACGGGCGGCAGCAGUAGGGAGGAGAGGGAGAGGGGGGGGAGCCUGACCCAGGCAGGCCGCGUGACGGAUGAAGGGCUUCGGGGGUGUAAACGGCUUUUGUCAGGGAAGAAAAAGUCCUUGGGAGGUACACUGACGGUACCGGAGGAAUAAGCACCGGCUAACUCCGUG